GGAAGGGUGGCAGAGCGGUCUAAUGCACUGGUCUUGAAAACCAGCGAGUCGCAAGGCUCCGUGGGUUCGAAUCCCACUCCUUCCG
rnacentral:tRNA from 2 species